UCAGCAGCCGCGGUAAUACGUAGGAUGCAAGCGUUAUCCGGAAUUACUGGGCGUAAAGCGUCUGUAGGUGGUUUGUUAAGUUGAAUGUUAAAUCUUCAGGCUCAACUUGUAGACUGCAUUCAAUACUGGCAGACUUGAGGAAGGAAGAGGUAAGCGGAAUUACCGGUGGAGCGGUGAAAUGCGUAGAUAUCGGUAGGAACACCAAUGGCGAAGGCAGCUUACUGGGCCUCUCCUGACACUGAGAGACGAAAGCGUGGGGAGCGAACGGAAUUAGAUACUCCGGUAGUCCACGCCGUAAACGAUGAUCACUAGCUGUUCGAGGUGUCGACCCCUUGAGUAGCGAAGCUAACGCGUUAAGUGAUCCGCCUGGGGAGUACGGUCGCAAGACUAAAACUUAAAGGAAUUGGCGGGGGAU
rnacentral:rRNA from 1 species